AAUAAUACAAACGGCGUAAAGCACGACUAAAAAAAAGUCAAGCAUUAGAAAAUGAAUCCAAGCUGGGCUGUAAAAAGCCAUAAGCUACAAUAACCACAUCUAACACAAACAGCUUCCACUCGUGAAAGUCAGGACACAAACUAAGAUUAGAUACCUUACUAUGCCUAACUGUAACACAACAAUUAAACUACCAAUUGUUCGCCAAAUAACUACGAGUAAAAACUUAAAAUUUAAAAGACUUGACGGUACCUCACAACACCCUAGAGGAGCCUGUCCAUAACCGAUACUCCCCGAUUAACCCAACCCCGCCUAGCCAACAGUCUAUAUACCGCCGUCGCCAGCCUACCUUGUGAAAGAAAAAAAGUAAGCAAAACAGUCACACACUAACACGACAGGUCGAGGUGUAACUAAUGGCAGGGUCAAGAUGGGCUACAUUUUCUACCACAGAAAAAACGAAUUAAACUAUGAAAAAGAAACUGAAGGCGGAUUUAGCAGUACACUAAGAACACACAUACCUAGUCGAAAUUAAUGCAAUGAGGUGCGUACACACCGCCCGUCAUCCCUGUUGACCAAACUAUAACCCAUCCAUAA
rnacentral:rRNA from 1 species